rnacentral:rRNA from 1 species
GAGCGGUAGAGAGGUGCUUCCACCUCUUGAGAGCGGCGGACGGGUGAGUAAUGCCUAGGAAUCUGCCUGGUAGUGGGGGAUAACGCUCGGAAACGGACGCUAAUACCGCAUACGUCCUACGGGAGAAAGCAGGGGACCUUCGGGCCUUGCGCUAUCAGAUGAGCCUAGGUCGGAUUAGCUAGUUGGUGAGGUAAUGGCUCACCAAGGCGACGAUCCGUAACUGGUCUGAGAGGAUGAUCAGUCACACUGGAACUGAGACACGGUCCAGACUCCUACGGGAGGCAGCAGUGGGGAAUAUUGGACAAUGGGCGAAAGCCUGAUCCAGCCAUGCCGCGUGUGUGAAGAAGGUCUUCGGAUUGUAAAGCACUUUAAGUUGGGAGGAAGGGCAGUUACCUAAUACGUAAUUGUUUUGACGUUACCGACAGAAUAAGCACCGGCUAACUCUGUGCCAGCAGCCGCGGUAAUACAGAGGGUGCAAGCGUUAAUCGGAAUUACUGGGCGUAAAGCGCGCGUAGGUGGUUCGUUAAGUUGGAUGUGAAAGCCCCGGGCUCAACCUGGGAACUGCAUUCAAAACUGACGAGCUAGAGUAUGGUAGAGGGUGGUGGAAUUUCCUGUGUAGCGGUGAAAUGCGUAGAUAUAGGAAGGAACACCAGUGGCGAAGGCGACCACCUGGACUGAUACUGACACUGAGGUGCGAAAGCGUGGGGAGCAAACAGGAUUAGAUACCCUGGUAGUCCACGCCGUAAACGAUGUCAACUAGCCGUUGGGAGCCUUGAGCUCUUAGUGGCGCAGCUAACGCAUUAAGUUGACCGCCUGGGGAGUACGGCCGCAAGGUU